UACGGAAUGUGCAAACGUUAUUCGGAAUCACUGGGCUUAAAGAGUCCGUAGGCGGCUUGUUAGGUGAGGUGUGAAAUCCCUCGGCCCAACCGAGGAAUUGCGCUUCAAACCGGCAAGCUAGAGGAGGAUAGAGGUGGGCGGAACUGAUGGUGGAGCGGUGAAAUGCGUUGAUAUCAUCAGGAACAUCGGAGGCGAAGGCGGUCCACUGGGUCCUUUCUGACGCUGAGGGACGAAAGCUAGGGGAGCGAACGGG
rnacentral:rRNA from 1 species